AACACUGUUAACCUGCGGUACCUGCGGAAGGAUCAUUACACAAUAAUAUAUGAAGGCUGCUCGCGGCUGGAGUAUUUAUUACCCUUGUCUUUUGCGCACUUGUUGUUUCCUGGGCGGGCUCGCCCGCCACCAGGACCACAUACAAACCUUUUUUAUGUAGUUGCAAUCAGCGUCAGUAUAACAAAUGUAAAUCAUUUACAACUUUCAACAAUGGAUCU
rnacentral:misc_RNA from 1 species